rnacentral:rRNA from 1 species
UACGUAGGGUGCGAGCGUUAAUCGGAAUUACUGGGCGUAAAGCGUGCGCAGGCGGUUUUGUAAGCCAGAUGUGAAAUCCCCGGGCUUAACCUGGGAAUGGCAUUUGGUACUGCAAGGCUGGAGUGCGGCAGAGGAGACUGGAAUUCCUGGUGUAGCAGUGAAAUGCGUAGAUAUCAGGAGGAACACCGAUGGCGAAGGCAGGUCUCUGGGCUGACACUGACGCUCAUGCACGAAAGCGUGGGGAGCAAACAGG